UGGGGGAUAUUGCACAAUGGGCGAAAGCCUGAUGCAGCGACGCCGCGUGGGGGAUGAAGGCCUUCGGGUUGUAAACUUCUUCUGCUCUGAACAAGGCAUGCUUUUGGGGUGUGUUGAGUGUAGGGGUUGAUUAGCGCCGGCUAACUACGUGCCAGCAGCCGCGGUAAUACGUAGGGCGCGAGCGUUGUCCGGAAUUAUUGGGCGUAAAGGGCUUGUAGGUGGCUGGUUGCGUCUGUCGUGAAAGCUCAUGGCUUAACUGUGGGUUUGCGGUGGGUACGGGCUGGCUUGAGUGAAGUAGGGGAGGCUGGAAUUCCUGGUGUAGCGGUGGAAUGCGCAGAUAUCAGGAGGAAUACCGGUGGCGAAGGCGGGUCUCUGGGCUGUUACUGACGCUGAGGAGCGAAAGCGUGGGGAGCGAACAGG
rnacentral:rRNA from 1 species